rnacentral:rRNA from 1 species
UUAACACAUGACCGUCGAGCGAGAUUUUAAGAACUAGCUUGCUAGUUCUUAAAUGACAGCGGCGGACGGGUGAGUAACGCGUGGGCAAUCUGCCCUGUGGAAAGGGAUAGCCUCGGGAAACCGGGAUUAAUACCUUAUAAUAUUAGCACUUCCCAUGAAGAGCUAAUCAAAGAUUUAUCGCCACAGGAUGAGCCCGCGUCCCAUUAGCUAGUUGGUGAGAUAACAGCUCACCAAGGCGACGAUGGGUAGCCGACCUGAGAGGGUGAUCGGCCACACUGGGACUGAGACACGGCCCAGACUUCUACGGGAGGCAGCAGUGGGGAAUAUUGCGCAAUGGGGGAAACCCUGACGCAGCAACGCCGCGUGAGUGAUGAAGGUUUUCGGAUCGUAAAACUCUGUUUUUGGGGAAGAAUAAUGACGGUACCCAAGGAGGAAGCCCCGGCUAACUACGUGCCAGCAGCCGCGGUAAUACGUAGGGGGCAAGCGUUGUCCGGAAUCAUUGGGCGUAAAGGGCGUGUAGGCGGUAUGAUAAGUCAGGUGUGAAAGUUUGGGGCUC